UGGUGGAGUGAUUUGUCUGGUUAAUUCCGUUAACGAACGAGACCUCGACCUGCUAAAUAGUUGGACAAAGGAAUCCUCCUUUGGAUACAGCUUCUUAGAGGGACUAUCGGUGUGUAGCCGACGGAAGUUCGAGGCAAUAACA
rnacentral:rRNA from 1 species